CCUACGGGGGACAGCAGUGGGGAAUAUUGCACAAUGGGCGCAACCCUGAUGCAGCGACGCCGCGUGAGUGAAGAAGGAUUUCGGUAUGUAAAGCUCUAUCAGCAGGGAAGAAAAUGACGGUACGUGACUAAGAAUCCCUGGCCAACUACGUGCCAGCAGCCGCGGUAAUACGUAGGGGGCAAGCGUUAUCCGGAUUUACUGGGUGUAAAGGGAGCGUAGACGGCAGCACAAGUCUGGAGUGAAAUGCCGGGGCUUAACCCCGGCAGGGCUUUGGCAACUGUGCAGCUAGAGUGCAGGAGAGGUAAGUGGAAUUCGUAGUGUAGCGGUGAAAUGCGUAGAUAUUACGAGGAACACCAGUUGCGAAGGCGGCUUACUGGACUGUAACUGACGUUGAGGCUCGAAAGCGUGGGUAGCAAACAGGAUUAGAUACCCUUGUAGUC
rnacentral:rRNA from 1 species